rnacentral:rRNA from 1 species
UGCGUACCUUUUGUAUAAUGGGUCAGCGACUUAUAUUCUGUAGCAAGGUUAACCGAAUAGGGGAGCCGAAGGGAAACCGAGUCUUAACUGGGCGUUAAGUUGCAGGGUAUAGACCCGAAACCCGGUGAUCUAGCCAUGGGCAGGUUGAAGGUUGGGUAACACUAACUGGAGGACCGAACCGACUAAUGUUGAAAAAUUAGCGGAUGACUUGUGGCUGGGGGUGAAAGGCCAAUCAAACCGGGAGAUAGCUGGUUCUCCCCGAAAGCUAUUUAGGUAGCGCCUCGUGAAUUCAUCUCCGGGGGUAGAGCACUGUUUCGGCAAGGGGGUCAUCCCGACUUACCAACCCGAUGCAAACUGCGAAUACCGGAGAAUGUUAUCACGGGAGACACACGGCGGGUGCUAACGUCCGUCGUGAAGAGGGAAACAACCCAGACCGCCAGCUAAGGUCCCAAAGUCAUGGUUAAGUGGGAAACGAUGUGGGAAGGCCCAGACAGCCAGGAUGUUGGCUUAGAAGCAGCCAUCAUUUAAAGAAAGCGUAAUAGCUCACUGGUCGAGUCGGCCUGCGCGGAAGAUGUAACGGGGCUAAACCAUGCACCGAAGCUGCGGCAGCGACACUAUGUGUUGUUGGGUAGGGGAGCGUUCUGUAAGCCGUUGAAGGUGGCCUGUGAGGGUUGCUGGAGGUAUCAGAAGUGCGAAUGCUGACAUAAGUAACGAUAAAGCGGGUGAAAAGCCCGCUCGCCGGAAGACCAAGGGUUCCUGUCCAACGUUAAUCGGGGCAGGGUGAGUCGACCCCUAAGGCGAGGCCGAAAGGCGUAGUCGAUGGGAAACAGGUUAAUAUUCCUGUACUUGGUGUUACUGCGAAGGGGGGACGGAGAAGGCUAUGUUGGCCGGGCGACGGUUGUCCCGGUUUAAGCGUGUAGGCUGAUUUUCCAGGCAAAUCCGGAGAAUCAAGGCUGAGGCGUGAUGA